AACCCUAACUUCCAAAGCCAACCUCGUGCCUUCGUCUCUCUGUCUCUGCUCUCUCAAGCUUGGCGUCGGCAACGGACAGCCUCUCACUCUCACCUCGUCACUCUCUCGAGCUCGGCACCGGCAUCCCCUCACCCUCACCUCGUCUCUCCCCUCGUCGUCAGUUCGUCACUCUCAGUCUCUGGGUAUCUCACCGCGUCACGCUCUCGUUCUCUCACUGCGAGUCCGUGACCCUGCGUUUGCUUCGUCGGGUGGUGGUGGUGGUCGUCUUCUCAACUAGGACGGGUACGUGCCAUACCAUUCUGCCAGAAUUGAGACGUGUUUGGCUGCCUCACAUGACACUUAAAGGAAGGGGAUUGUGUUCAUGGAAAUGCUGAAUAAUUGUUUGGAACAGAUCUACAUCAAUCCCUCACAUGUCAUAAAUAUUGCAUAAGGUUGUGGUAGAUUUUUAAUUGAAAAGAUAUUUGUAUUUAGAGAUUAAUUUAUUAUCUUUUAGAUCAUUAGUUAUGUUUAAUAUUGAAUUAUUAAUGUUUGUAAAGACUUAUAUUUUAAAUUUUAAGACAUCAUUUUAAUUUAUUUAUAAAAUUUUAUUUUUUUUAGUUAUGACCGGGUUAACCGGAUGAAUCAGUGAUCCACCGGUUGAACCAGUAACCCACUGACCCGGUUAUAUGACCGGAUUGAUUACCAGUUCGGUUCUGAUAACUAUGCUUAUCAAUAUCAAAUUACAACGGGUGUAAUGUUAAUUGAAUAUAGCCAUUAUUCCAUUCCGACAUACCACUUAUCCACAACGGAAUGAGAUAUGAACCACAUUUACAUUGAGAUCAAAUGAUGGAUGGAUGGUAUAUUGCCCGGAGUACAAUUACAACUAUAUUAAAGAAACAUUUCUAUGAAAUUCUUAUAAAUCUAAAUUGGGUUCAUCAAAACUUUUAAGGUUAUCAAGAUAUAACAAUGGUUGAUGGACAAAUGAGCCAACACCACCGUGUGAAUUCAAAUUUGCUGAAGGUUGCUCCUCAAGUGGCUUUUCUCUUCUGCAGUCGUUGUAGCUUCUGCCACUUGAGGUUGCCACUUGAGGUAGAUCUGGUAUGACAAUCCAGUGAAUACCAUACAAACACAACCCCAUUGUUUUGUUGAAAGCGGAUUUCCACUCAACAGAGAAGAUACCACAAUGCUAACGAAUUUGCGAGUGGUAGUAAUGGUGGUGUUAGCCAAAGAGCCAUAUCGGCUUAUUGUCAAAAAGAUGAAGUUUUGGCCCACAGUACCACAACAACAGAAGAGAAUAAUAUCCCAUGCUGCCUCU